UACAGAGGUCUCAAGCGUUGUUCGGAUUCAUUGGGCGUAAAGGGUGCGUAGGCGGCGCGGUAAGUCGGGUGUGAAAUCUCGGGCUUAACUCCGAAACUGCAUUCGAUACUGCCGUGCUUGAGGACUGGAGAGGAGACUGGAAUUUACGGUGUAGCGGUGAAAUGCGUAGAUAUCGUAAGGAAGACCAGUGGCGAAGGCGGGUCUCUGGACAGUUCCUGACGGCUGGAGGCACGAAGGCCAGGGGAGCAAACGGG
rnacentral:rRNA from 1 species